ACGCUGGCGGCGUGCCUAAUACAUGCAAGUAGAACGCUGAAGAGAGGAGCUUGCUCUUCUUGGAUGAGUUGCGAACGGGUGAGUAACGCGUAGGUAACCUGCCUUGUAGCGGGGGAUAACUAUUGGAAACGAUAGCUAAUACCGCAUAACAAUGGAUGACCCAUGUCAUUUAUUUGAAAGGGGCAAAUGCUCCACUACAAGAUGGACCUGCGUUGUAUUAGCUAGUAGGUGAGGUAACGGCUCACCUAGGCGACGAUACAUAGCCGACCUGAGAGGGUGAUCGGCCACACUGGGACUGAGACACGGCCCAGACUCCUACGGGAGGCAGCAGUAGGGAAUCUUCGGCAAUGGGGGCAACCCUGACCGAGCAACGCCGCGUGAGUGAAGAAGGUUUUCGGAUCGUAAAGCUCUGUUGUAAGUCAAGAACGAGUGUGAGAGUGGAAAGUUCACACUGUGACGGUAGCUUACCAGAAAGGGACGGCUAACUACGUGCCAGCAGCCGCGGUAAUACGUAGGUCCCGAGCGUUGUCCGGAUUUAUUGGGCGUAAAGCGAGCGCAGGCGGUUUGAUAAGUCUGAAGUUAAAGGCUGUGGCUCAACCAUAGUUCGCUUUGGAAACUGUCAAACUUGAGUGCAGAAGGGGAGAGUGGAAUUCCAUGUGUAGCGGCGAAAUGCGUAGAUAUAUGGAGGAACACCGGUGGCGAAAGCGGCUCUCUGGUCUGUAACUGACGCUGAGGCUCGAAAGCGUGGGGAGCGAACAGGAUUAGAUACCCUGGUAGUCCACGCCGUAAACGAUGAGUGCUAGGUGUUGGAUCCUUUCCGGGAUUCAGUGCCGCAGCUAACGCAUUAAGCACUCCGCCUGGGGAGUACGACCGCAAGGUUGAAACUCAAAGGAAUUGACGGGGGCCCGCA
rnacentral:rRNA from 1 species